rnacentral:rRNA from 1 species
CCAAUAGCGUAUAUUAAAGUUGUUGCAGUUAAAAAGCUCGUAGUUGAAUUUCGGGAUUGACACAUCGGUCGUGCCUUAAGGGGUAUGAACUGGUGUAGUCAAUUUCUCACCUUCUGGAGAACCGCGAUGCCCUUAAUUGGGUGUCGCGGGGAACCAGGACCUUUACUUUGAAAAAAUUAGAGUGUUUAAAGCAGGCAUUUUGCUUGAAUACAUUAGCAUGGAAUAAUAAAAUAGGACGGCAUGAUUCUAUUUUGUUGGUUUCUAGGAUCACCGUAAUGAUUAAUAGGGUUAGUUGGGGGCAGUAGUAUUCAAUUGUCAGAGGUGAAAUUCUUGGAUUGAUUGAAGACUAACUACUGCGAAAGCAUUUGCCAAGGAUGUGUUCAUUAAUCAAGAACGAAAGUUAGGGGAUCGAAGACGAUCAGAUACCGUCGUAGUCUUAACCAUAAACUAUGCCGACUAGGAAUCAGACGAUGUUAAUUUUUUAAUGACUCGUUUGGCACCUUACG